rnacentral:rRNA from 1 species
AGUGAACGCUGGCGGUAGGCCUAACACAUGCAAGUCGAACGGCAGCACAGUAAGAGCUUGCUCUUACGGGUGGCGAGUGGCGGACGGGUGAGGAAUACAUCGGAAUCUACUUUUUCGUGGGGGAUAACGUAGGGAAACUUACGCUAAUACCGCAUACGACCUACGGGUGAAAGCAGGGGAUCUUCGGACCUUGCGCGAUUGAAUGAGCCGAUGUCGGAUUAGCUAGUUGGCGGGGUAAAGGCCCACCAAGGCGACGAUCCGUAGCUGGUCUGAGAGGAUGAUCAGCCACACGGGAACUGAGACACGGUCCAGACUCCUACGGGAGGCAGCAGUGGGGAAUAUUGGAAAAUGGGCGCAAGCCUGAUCCAGCCAUACCGCGUGGGUGAAGAAGGCCUGCGGGUUGUAAAGCCCUUUUGUUGGGAAAGAAAAGCAGCAGGUUAAGACCCCGCUGUUCGGACGGUACCCAAAGAAGAAGCACCGGCUAACUGCGU